rnacentral:rRNA from 1 species
ACGGGAGGCAGCAGUAGGGAAUCUUCCACAAUGGACGCAAGUCUGAUGGAGCAACGCCACGUGUGGGAAGAAGCAUUUCGGUGUGUAAACCACUGUCGUGAGGGAAUAAUGCUUGGUCUCGGCCAAGUUGAAUGUACCUCGAAAGGAAGCACCGGCAAACUUCGUGCCAGCAGCCGCGGUAAUACGAGGGGUGCAAGCGUUGUUCGGAAUCACUGGGCGUAAAGGGAGCGUAGGCGGAGACGCAAGCAGUCUGUACAAUACCGGGGCCCAACCCCGGACCUGCAGACUGGACUGUGUCUCUUGGAUAGUUCAGGGGCAGGCGGAAUUCCUGGUGUAGCGGUGGAAUGCGUAGAGAUCAGGAAGAACACCGAUGGCGAAGGCAGCCUGCUGGGGACUCAUCGACGCCGAGGCUCGAAAGUGCGGGUAGCAAACAGGAUUAGAUACCCUGGUA